GACGAACGCUGGCGGCGUGCCUAAUACAUGCAAGUAGAACGCUGAAGAGAGGAGCUUGCUCUUCUUGGGUGAGUUGCGAACGGGUGAGUAACGCGUAGGUAACCUGCCUUGUAGCGGGGGAUAACUAUUGGAAACGAUAGCUAAUACCGCAUAACAAUGUAUGACACAUGUCAUUUAUUUGAAAGGGGCAAUUGCUCCACUACAAGAUGGACCUGCGUUGUAUUAGCUAGUAGGUGAGGUAAUGGCUCACCUAGGCGACGAUACAUAGCCGACCUGAGAGGGUGAUCGGCCACAAUGGGACUGAGAAAAGGCCCAGACUCCUACGGGAGGCAGCAGUAGGGAAUCUUCGGCAAAGGGGGCAAACCUGACCGGGCAACGGCGCGUGAGUGAAGAAGGUUUUCGGAUCGUAAAGCUCUGUUGUAAGUCAAGAACGGAUGUGAGAGUGGAAAGUUCACGCUGUGACGGUAGCUUACCAGAAAGGGACGGCUAACUACGUG
rnacentral:rRNA from 1 species